ACUAUUAUUCUACAAUGUAUAAAAUAGUACAAAUAAAGAAAAAACCCUUGAAUGAGUAGGAGUGUCCAAGCUUUUGACUGGUACUGUAUGUAUGUCAAUUCGUCCCAGCAGCUAAUUUUAAGAAGGGUAUGCCUAAGAUAUAUCUCAAGGAGGAAGUACCGACAACAUCUACCAGAGAUGUGAAUGAACCGCAGAGCCGAGGCCCUGAACCUGAUUUCUUGACUCAUGUAAUUACAGGCAGCAGCAUUACAUCAGGUGUCUAAUGCCACCUAGUGGCAGAAUUGGAAUAAUUUCAGAGCUGAACAGUGAUGAUGAUAUAACGCAGUACCAUUUAGCAGACGUUUUUAUCCAAAGCGACUUAAGAGUCAUGCGUGCAAACAUUUGACAUACGGGAGAUCCUGGGAAUUCAACCCACUAUCCUGGCAUUGCAAGUACCAUGCUCUACCAACUGAGCCACGGGACCUGAUUAGGGUAUGAUAAUAGGUAAAGGUAAGGGGGAAAUGUGUUAAUAUGGUGAAGGCCAGCCUGUUUCGUUGUUACGUCUGUAUUCCAACAGGUUUCCAACUGCACUGAUGUCAGCUCAUGUAGGUUUCCACACUACAUUCAAAAAAUCACCUGCUGUUCACCACCUGUCUGACACUGAUAGGCCGAGUCCCAAGUGGCACCCUAUUCCCUAUAUAGUGCCACAUGAGGAAUAAUAGGGUGUCAUUUGGGACGCAGCCCCCGGUGGAGACUUACCUGCAGACGUGUCUUCAGCUUGUCCUGCAAACACUCACCAUGGUCCUAAGGAAUGCUGUGAAUCAUCGCCCAGUUACUCUCCCAAGAGGGAGGUUGCUUUAGUUCCGACUCGAAUGAUGACGAGGUGAAGGAUUAUCACCAGUGUCGCCAGGGUGGAUCCUCACAGGCACAUUCAGAGAGGUCCUGUUGUGAAGAGAUCCCUGUCCUCAGCCAAGGCCUCAUCACAUUGGAACACACAACAACGGGGUCACCCUCCGUCUCAACCCAGACCUUACACCCCACCAACUAGGCCUCAAUGAACAGGGAACUGUGGAAACGGCCAGAGCGGUCAUAGAGACCAGAGAGCGUUGGAGAGCUCCGACUCCACAGAGAGAGACGGUCAGGCUGUGUGGUUACAGAUGACAGUAACAGCCAGGCUAGGGUUAUAGGCGAUCGGUAGGUCCCACCUCGUCCUCUGUCUGAAUCACAGAGCUCUGCGGUCCACCAACAAAAAUGGCAGCCACCAGAACACAAGCAACACAAGAAACACGAGAAUGGGGACACAGACUGUCACCAACAUCACCUCGAAAUGUCCAACAUCGGAUGUUUCAACUCGGUGCAGUUUCUGGACUUGAGUGUAAAGAGAACAACCUUGUGGACUCUGAAUCCCACAACUAUUCUGCUUAAAAUGUCAUACCGAUCCCAGCCAACAGAGGGCAGGCCCGUCACAGAGAUGAGUCUAUGAGACAACAGACAGACAGACAGCAUUAUCAGACAGAUCCAGGAGGGAGGGAGAAGAGCACACGCCCUGGAGAAAAUCAACAGCCAGAGAGCUCAAGGCUGGACCUGGGCACCACCCAUCAAUCAUCCCUUUAAACAAAUGCACUCUGAGAAUAGAGUGCAUUCAGAGACCCACUACCUCUGUACUAGACGCUCCCCUCGUCACCAAUGAUGUAAAAGACUUGAGAGGUAAGCAGUUGCAGAAUAAAGGACAGGAAGAAGAAUAAGAGGUACAGGACCCUGUUCAGAAUGUUCCUCUUAGAGGAGACCUUCCAGAUGAGAGAGAGAGAGAGGAGAGAAAAGGAGGUCACUGCUGAGAGCAUAGUUAACAGGCUUUCAGAGGAGGUUGAGACACUUCAGGAAAGAGCAGGCGUUCUGCUCAUGCUGAAGCAGAGGAAAAAAGAUUAGUGAAAAGGGAAGGAGAGGAGAGAGGUGGGGAGGACAGGAGAGGAGGGGAGGUCAAAUCCCGACGUAUCCCUUUUAAGAGUUGUGAACAACCCUAGCAACUACAGUACAUCCCCUUUACCACAGGAUCUGUUUCUGCAUAUUUCAACAUUUAUAACAAUGCCCUUGUGGAUUCUACAUUAAAACGAAAGCCAGACAUUGCAAGA